ACUCUUAGUCGAGAUCAGUGUCGGUUGGGGAGUUUGACUGGGGUAGUGUGUCAAACGGUAACGCAGGUGUCCCAAGGCGAGCUUAGCGCGGAGGAUACCAGACGUCGAGCAAAAGGGUAAAAGCUCGUUCCAUCUCGAUUUUCAGUACGAAUACGGGUAAAUUUCCUUGCGGUGCUUCUUCCGGCUUUUCUUUGCGUUCUGAGUUCAAAUUCCGCUGUC
rfam:Octopus bimaculoides Scaffold187289_contig_29, whole genome shotgun sequence.